GUAUUUAAUUUAUUCAAAAUAAGUGAUAAAAUUUCAAAAUAUUGAUACAAAUAUGAUUUAUGAGUACAUACAACUACAUACAUACUACCUACUUAAUCUACUAUAAAUCUCCAACAGAGGAACAACACAAUGACAAGACGCCAACCAUGUCUAGACCGGUGAUUGACUAGAUACUGCGGGACACUUUACUUAAUAGGAAUGUAGGCUUCUCCGACUUGGGCGUAUCUAAGGAGCCUCAACCUAAAUAUGCCACUGGCUCACUAGCUGUGUAUGAGCACUAUUUAUCUUUCACCACCAAUGAUACCAAUGAUAUAAAUCGAAUUUGAUCACCUGGGUGAGUAUCCAUAGCCCACAACAUGCUUAA